UACGUAGGGUGCAAGCGUUGUCCGGAAUUAUUGGGCGUAAAGAGCUCGUAGGCGGUUUGUCGCGUCGACUGUGAAAAACCCGAGGCUUAACCUCGGGCCUGCAGUCGAUACGGGCAGACUAGAGUUGGUAGGGGAGACUGGAAUUCCUGGUGUAGCGGUGAAAUGCGUAGAUAUCUGGGAGGAACACCGGGUGGCGAAGGCGACAUCCUGGACCGGUAUUGACGCUGAGGCGCGAAAGCCAGGGGAGCAAACGGGG
rnacentral:rRNA from 1 species